AUUGAUGUCAAGGGCAGUGGGAACAUAGACAUGCCCGACGUCAGCUUAAUAUUUGAUGCGGGUUCAAUUUGGACCCAGGAUAAUAGACUUAUUUUUGCAAGUUGACGAAGUGCUUAAAGCUUGGUUCACCUCCGCCGUGGGUCGGCCCGGUAUUGCAUGAUCUCCGCGAUCGGCCCACGCUUU